rfam:Clostridium bolteae CAG:59 genomic scaffold, scf22
CAUAUCGUGAGAUGUGGGCGAGAAGAAGGGAUAGCGAAAUCGUAGCCCUACGGACAGAAACCUGAUAAUAAGGCGUGCAUGGCGGGUAAGUUGGCUUAAAGCAACGAAGCCCUAAAGGUAGCCGUAACCUAUGUGCGUAAAUUAGGAGGGUAGACGAGGAAAGAACACG